AAACUAAAAGUUCAUGAUAAAUCAGAAACUGAGGUUGAUGAAGAACCUCUUCACGUACAUCUUCAAAAUCCAGAUUAUGGCAUUUUAGAGCUGGUGCCUGAGGCAGAGUUUGUUAAGUGACUCCAUACUUCUGCUGUACAGCAAUUCCUCCAAACACCUCAUGCUGUCCUUCUACAUGUGACUCAGAUGACAAGGUCAUAAGGUGAUGAUGGAGACCACACAAGUUAACGGCCGAGAACGCUCGACGACCAUGAAGCUGGAUGUCUGAUUGAGAACAUAUUGCAGAAAAGCCCAGGAGGAGAUCGUGUAAUCAAGGAAUACACGCGGACCAAAACUCUAAUGGAUGGCACAAGAUGACAAAUGGUCAAUAUGGUUACUGCUAAAAUGACAGACUUAUGGGUAGGUUAACUUUGAUGGGUUAUCAAUUUAAAACAAAUGCUUCACAGUCCUGAUUAUUACUAAACAAUAUGCAGGAAACUUGUUUCUUUACACAAACGUACAUGGGUCUGUUACAGGACAACCCCACCAAGACAUGUAAGGGAGAUGUAUGCAAGAGGAAUUGUGUCUCUUUGCUUAUUUGAAAGACCCUUUAUCAAAAAAUG